ACAGAAACACCGGACAUCCGGUGACACCGCGAAGGCUGUAAUCAGCCGAUUGGGCACAGCUGUGCCUAGUUGAAGAGAUCGCCGAGUAAUUGGAUAACUGGAGUACAAAGAGGAGUAUAAAAAGCGCAGUUAGAUGACAGUUGUGUUCGUUGUUAGUGUGUGCUGAGGAACGGAGCUGUGCUCAUUGUCAGACGUGGUGGCUGUCUGUAUUUCUCUCUCUCUCCCUCUCUCACUGUAGUUGACGGUGGACCUGCUGGAGUAAACGGAAAAUCCGCUGAGUAGAAAGGAACUUUGGUUUAACCAGUACUUUUGAAGGAGUAAAGCCGGAAGAAAACUGACCUUGUUGUACAACGUAAACAAAGGCUAUCCGCUGUGAGUAUACUUGUUUGGUGUGGAGUAAACUGCAGAGAUUAACCUGUGUGAUCGUUGGAGUCCUCGAGGAGGAAACGGGCGGCCCUGCCCCUAUAAUAGCGUGGUGGGCGAGCCGCUGGAAGUAUAGACCCAAAACAGCACAGCAACGAGACUUUAUUUCGGUCGUGUUUGCCAUCGCCCCUAUUUAGCCCAAGCGCAGUGGAGGACACCGGGCGCUUUUCCUUGUGGUGUUGCACUUAUAGCGUGACGAAGCCCCGUACAUCCAUCUUCUCUACUGGGCAGAGGACGGAGGGGCUAACGACCCCAGAAAUUUCUGCUACCACACGCUGUGUGCUGUUUCGGAGGACGAAGGGACGCGGACCAAGAGCUGUCCAGGGCUGUGAGUGAAGUAUUGGAAGUAUUCGUGGUGUACACUUACCUGUGUCUGUCUUUUGUCGCAGAGUCAGAGGCGAAAGAGUCCGCCGCCCCCGCGGUCCCUACAAAGGGGCGCCCCUGUCCAGGAUUCGAUCGGCCUACGGGCAGUGGAGAUAGGGCAGCGCUCGACCCGGUGAGGUGGUGUGUGACCUUCGCCCCUCUGCUGACCUACGGAGGAGAAAAAGCCAUACCUAUCCAGAAAGCUGUAGGUAGCGGAGCCGGUGAGAAAUACUUGAAGUCUCAAUAACAGUGUCUUUGUGUCCUAGCGGCCACCUGUGGAGAGAGAGAAGAACGAGAGUGAAUAAGUGAAGAACAGACUGUGAACGUGCUCCCUACCCAGAAAGCUGUAUGCAGCAGAGUCGGUGAGAAAUACUCGAAGUCUCAGUAACAGUGUCUUUGUGUCCUAGCGGCCACCUGUGGAGAGAGAGAAGAACGAGAGUGAAUAAUUGAAGAACAGACUGUGAACGUGAUACCUACCCAGAAAGCUGUAUGCAGCAGAGCCGGUGAGAAAUACUCGAAGUCUCAGUAACAGUGUCUUUGUGUCCUAGCGGCCACCUGUGGAGAGAGAGAAGAACGAGAGUGAAUAAGUGAAGAACAGACUGUGAACGUGAUACCUACCCAGAAAGCGGUAUGCAGCAGAGCCGGUGAGAAAUACUCGAAGUUUCAGUAACAGUGUCUUUGUGUCCUAGCGGCCACCUGUGGAGAGAGAGAAGAACGAGAGUGAAUAAGUGAAGAACAGACUGUGAACGUGAUACCUACCCAGAAAGCGGUAUGCAGCAGAGCCGGUGAGAAAUACUCGAAGUUUCAGUAACAGUGUCUUUGUGUCCUAGCGGCCACCUGUGGAGAGAGAGAAGAACGAGAGUGAACCAUUGAAGAACAGACUGUGAACGUGAUAACUACCCAGAAAGCUGUACGCAGCAGAACCGGUGAGACAUACUCGAAGUCCAAGUAACAGUGCCUUUGUGUCCUAGUGGCCGCCUGAGGAGAGAAAGGAGGACGAGAGUGAACAAUCGGAGGACAGACGGUGUAACGCGCUACCUACCCCGAGAGCUGUAAGCGGCAGAACCGGUGAGAAGCAUACCAAAUCCACACUAACCGUGUUUCUGUGUCGCAGUGAACACCUGCGGGGGACGUGAAGGCACGUGGGGCGAGGACCCCCUGCCGGACCGAGGAAAGGUUCACGGACAGUGGAAAAUCUCCUACCAGUCACACCGAAAUUGUUCUGCCUCCAGGAAAGAAGAAGGAGGGCGCCACGGUUAACAGGGUCCAGGCCGGAGCCUGGCGAUUCCCUCUUUCCCCCGGCUUAUGGUGGUUGACACCCCUGUUGCCCUUGCCCCUGUCUGCCCGUGGCUGCAGUCUCCCUGGAGGGAGGAGAAGAAGCCCAUUAGUUUUAAAUCCCCCUUUCCCCAAUUCCCCAGUUCUUUUAAAUAUUUAAAUUCAAUAAAGCUUGUUUUAAAUUUUA